CUAAGCAUUCGAGGCGUACCGAAAAAUCUUCCUUCUCCUCCAACUCCAGUCCUAAGGUAACUGAGAUUUUCACGUGAGGGGUUCAGUUAUUUUCAAUCUUAUUAAUUGCGAUUGAAGAAAACCCAUCUAGGGAUUUGAUCUCGCAGGAGGUCGGAGUCAGCGGUGAGCGAGAACAGGAAUCCUAGGUCAGAUUCGGCUUCCAUCGAUGAAGAGGAUCGAAGAGUCUGCAGAAAAACUUGCUUUUGCUGAGCCCUGGAGCAUAGCUGACGGAAGUUCAGGAAAGAGGAGGAGAGGGUUGAAAGCUAUGUUCCUGAAAAACGAUUCAGAAUGAGUAGGAAAUAGAAUGAAAAAUUGGAAAUUUGAAGGAAAUAUGGUGUUUAUUUUGUUGGAGGGGAUGGAUUUUGAGGAUCUGUUCUGUAAAAUUAUUUUCUUUUGUUUUGAUUGAUAUAGUUCUUACUCAGAUUUGUAAGUUUUUUUUUAACGUCUUUUAUUAUUUUAAUCAUUUUCUGGCGA